rnacentral:rRNA from 1 species
UACGUAGGGGCCGAGCGUUGUCCGGAGUUAUUGGGCGUAAAGCGCGCGCAGGCGGCCUCGCGCGCCCGACGUGAAAGCCCCCGGCUUAACCGGGGAGGGUCGUUGGGGACGGCGGGGCUUGAGGGCGGGAGAGGCGAGUGGAAUUCCUGGUGUAGCGGUGGAAUGCGCAGAUAUCAGGAGGAACACCAAUAGCGAAGGCAGUUCGCUGGGACGAUACUGACGCUAAGGCGCGAAAGCGUGGGGAGCGAACAGG